UUAUGGCCAUAGCAUGUUGAAACAUCAGUUCCUGUAUUAUCACCAAAGUUAAGCAACAUUGAGCCUGGUCAGUACCUAGAUGGGUUACCACUCAAGAAUACCAGGUGCUGGA